AAGUCGUAACAAGGUUUCCGUAGGUGAACCUGCGGAAGGAUCAUUAAUGAAAAGGGGUUGUGUGUCACGCAUGCGUGGACCACGCCCAACCACAUCCACACCUGUGAACUGUUUGCCGCUGUGUUUUGAACUCGACGGUCCAUUCAACAACGUCUUAGAAUGUAACAAUCUAUAAACAAUACAACUUUUAGCAACGGAUCUCUUGGCUCUCGCAUCGAUGAAGAACGCAGCGAAAUGCGAUAAGUAAUGUGAAUUGCAGAAUUCAGUGAAUCAUCGAAUCUUUGAACGCACCUUGCACCCUUUGGUAUUCCGAAGGGUAUGCCUGUUUGAGUGUCUUGAACAUCUCAAUACCCUAGAUUUUGUUAUCUUUGGGUUUUUGGUUCUGAGCGUUUGCCACCCCGUGGCUCGCUUUAAAUGAAUUAGCUGGGCGUGACUGUACAACGUCGGCUCACAAGCGUAAUAACUAUUUCGUUUGUCGUCGUCGUUUCACAGUGUCGGCCAGCUUAGCACGUGCGUUUCAAAACCACAUUUUUCAUCAGACCUCAAAUCAGGUAGGACUACCCGCUGAACUUAAGCAUAUCAAUAAGCGGAGGAAAAGAAACUAACAAGGAUUCCCCUAGUAACGGCGAGUGAAGCGGGAAGAGCUCAAAUUUGAAAUCUCAUCGUCUCAGGCGGUGCGAGUUGUAAUCUAGAGACGUGUUUUCCGUGCUGGCCCGCGUACAAGUCCCUUGGAACAGGGCGUCAUAGAGGGUGAGAAUCCCGUACUUGACGCGGACAAACCAGUGCAUUUGCGAUACACGUUCAAAGAGUCGAGUUGUUUGGGAAUGCAGCUCAAAACGGGUGGUAAAUUCCAUCUAAAGCUAAAUAUUGGCGAGAGACCGAUAGCGAACAAGUACCGUGAGGGAAAGAUGAAAAGCACUUUGGAAAGAGAGUGAAAUAGUACGUGAAAUUGCUAAAAGGGAAACGCUUGAAGUCAGUCGCGCCUGAGGGACAGAGGGGCAACUUUCUUCCCAACUGGCGGGUCAGCAUCAGUUUCGCUCGUUUGUAUAAAGGCAGUCGGAAUGUGGCUUUUCGGAGUGUUAUAGCCCUCUGUCGGAUGCUACGGGAAAAUGUCGGGACUGAGGAAUGCAGCGCGCUUGCGGCCUAAUGGCGAGCAAGUCGGUCGGCCCUCCUCACAAGGGGGGGCUCACACGUUCACGUGCUUAGGAUGCUGGCAAAAUGGCUUUAAACGACC
rnacentral:rRNA from 1 species